GAUGAACGCUGGCGGCGUGCCUAAUACAUGCAAGUCGAGCGAACAGACGAGGAGCUUGCUCCUCUGACGUUAGCGGCGGACGGGUGAGUAACACGUGGAUAACCUACCUAUAAGACUGGGAUAACUUCGGGAAACCGGAGCUAAUACCGGAUAAUAUAUUGAACCGCAUGGUUCAAUAGUGAAAGACGGUUUUGCUGUCACUUAUAGAUGGAUCCGCGCCGCAUUAGCUAGUUGGUAAGGUAACGGCUUACCAAGGCGACGAUGCGUAGCCGACCUGAGAGGGUGAUUGGCCACACUGGAACUGAGACACGGUCCAGCCUCCUACGGGAGGCAGCAGUAGGGAAUCUUCCGCAAUGGGCGAAAGCCUGACGGAGCAACGCCGCGUGAGUGAUGAAGGUCUUCGGAUCGUAAAACUCUGUUAUUAGGGAAGAACAAAUGUGUAAGUAACUAUGCACGUCUUGACGGUACCUAAUCAGAAAGCCACGGCUAACUACGUG
rnacentral:rRNA from 1 species